rnacentral:sRNA from 1 species
GCCAGGCAUGGUGGUGCAUGCCUGUAAUCCCAGUGGCUUGGCAGGCUGAGGCAGGAGGAUGGCAAAGUCAGCCUCAGCAACUUAGCGAGACCCUGUCUAAA